AUCCAGCUGACGAGCUCAAAACUGGACGAAACGCACGUCCUAAAU
rnacentral:hammerhead_ribozyme from 1 species